CCUUUGAUCCUGGCUCAGGAUGAACGCUAGCGGCAGGCUUAACACAUGCAAGUCGAGGGGUAUUAGUUUUCGGACUAAGAGACCGGCGCACGGGUGCGUAACGCGUAUGCAAUCUACCUUUUACAGAGGGAUAGCCCAGAGAAAUUUGGAUUAAUACCUCAUAGUAUAACAUGGCCGCAUGGUCGAGUUAUUAAAGUCACAACGGUAAAAGAUGAGCAUGCGUCCCAUUAGCUAGUUGGUAAGGUAACGGCUUACCAAGGCAACGAUGGGUAGGGGUCCUGAGAGGGAGAUCCCCCACACUGGUACUGAGACACGGACCAGACUCCUACGGGAGGCAGCAGUGAGGAAUAUUGGACAAUGGGCGCAAGCCUGAUCCAGCCAUGCCGCGUGCAGGAUGACGGUCCUAUGGAUUGUAAACUGCUUUUGUACGAGAAGAAACACUCCUUCGUGAAGGAGCUUGACGGUAUCGUAAGAAUAAGGAUCGGCUAACUCCGUGCCAGCAGCCGCGGUAAUACGGAGGAUCCAAGCGUUAUCCGGAAUCAUUGGGUUUAAAGGGUCCGUAGGCGGUUUAGUAAGUCAGUGGUGAAAGCCCAUCGCUCAACGGUGGAACGGCCAUUGAUACUGCUAAACUUGAAUUAUUAGGAAGU
rnacentral:rRNA from 1 species